UUGGACGUGGUGCACCUGGCAUGCAUGGCUCUGCUAAAUCUGCUCGCAAUCCGGGGUUCGACUCCCCGCGUCCAAG